UGGGUUCAGGAGAACUCUUCCCAACCAUAAAAUUCAUGCCUUCAACUCCUAAAACUGUGUUAAAUUCAUAAUGUAUACGACGAAUUAUCUUUACUACUAUUUAUUUGGUGUUUGUUUUGGCCGUCGUCGUCGCGUUGCCGUCCUAAAAUCGUAAGGUCUCUACAGUUGGAUACGUUGCAACCAUUUCAGCAAGCAUCUCGUUGUCGUGACGUUUUAAGCUGUGAGACUAUACAAACACCGAAGCGAAAUGGCAGAAUUUACGUGUGUUCACACUGCGCCGUUACUGUUUGAUGAAUAUAUAUAUAGUUGACCUGCAUGCGAGUUCGAAAACAUACGAAAUCAUCAACGAGUUUCAACAUAGUUAAUAGAAUAGAUGGUUUGGAAAUUCAUUAGAAUAACAUCAUAAUUCAUUAUCUAUGUUAAUCAACGUUUGUUCAUAAAUAUGGUCCUUCACCGUCACAUGUGUAUUGUAUUCUUGCCAAAUCCACCAAUAGCAAUUUUCAAUUUACCCUAUUGUUCGAGAGGAUAUGUAACUUUCCUAAAGCAUUGCUAUUGAUUAGUUGGGCAAAAAUACAAUACGCACGUGAACGACCAGAUUUAUGAAUAAACGUUGACUAACAUAGAUGAGUUAUAUUGUUAUUCUAAUGAGUUUCCAGACCAUCUAUUCUAUUAACUAUAUGGUUUCAACGAGUCAAAACUCACGUAAAAUAGAUAGCUGAUCGCUAUUGGUUGUCGCUUCUCGAUUCGUCUGCUACCGUAAAAUACUGCGUUGUUAUUGGUUGUUACUUUCUAAGGAUGUAUGCUGAAU